CGCAGUCGGCUCCUGGGGAGACUGGGACUGGAAGUACGGUCACCGGGUUGAGCUGGUGAGGCUGACAGUCGGCUCGCGAGGAGACUAGGACUGGCGGGCGGUCACCGGGUUUCAACGAGGUUGGGGGUUUGCUCCGGGGAGGCUUUGUAAUCGCUGGGAUUGAUUGAUUUGAGAGAGAGAGCUUUUCUGUAUUGUCUUUAGCCUCUAUAUAUAGGCUACUGCAGAUUCAUUGUCCAAAUAGGAAUGAAAUACUAUAUUUUAGGCCACAAAUCCUAGACGUGAUCGCUGGAUGCCAACAGUAGGAUACGCACGUAUUAAUUGCAAAUAUAUCUUCACGCCCUUCUGAGCGCUCAAAUCUUCAUGCAAUUAAUGAUGAUAUCUCCUUAUGAGACACGGGAUAAGCAGCAUCACGACCCAAGUCCAUGUAAUCCCAUUUUGGGCCGCAAGUAUCGGCC
rnacentral:lncRNA from 1 species